GAUGAACGCUGGCGGCGUGCCUAAUACAUGCAAGUCGAGCGAACAGACGAGGAGCUUGCUUCUCAGACGUUAGCGGCGGACGGGUGAGUAACACGUGGAUAACCUACCUAUAUGACUGGUAUAACUUCGGGAAACCGGAGCUAAUACCGGAUAAUAUAUUGAACCGCAUGGUUCAAUAGUGAAUGACGGUUUUGCUGUCACUUAUAGAUGUAUCCGCGUCGCAUUAGCUAGUUGGUAAGGUAACGGCUUACCAAGGCAACGAUGCGUAGCCGACUUGAGAGGGUGGUCGGCCACACUGGAACUUGGACACGGUCCAGACUCCUACGGGAGGCAGCAGAAGGGAAUCUUCCGCAAUGGGCGAAAGCCUGACAGAGCAACGCCGAGUGAGUGAUGAAGAUCUUCGGAUCGUGAAACUCUGUUAUUAGGGAAGAACAAAUGUGUAAGUAACUAUGCACGUCUUGACGGUACCUAAUCAGAAAGCCACGGCUAACUACGUG
rnacentral:rRNA from 1 species